AGUGAACGCUGGCGGCAGGUCUAACACAUGCAAGUCGAACGGCAGCACAGUAAGAGCUUGCUCUUACGGUUGGCGAGUGGCGGACGGGUGAGGAAUACAUCGGAAUCUACUUUUUCGUGGGGGAUAACGUAGGGAAACUGACGCUAAUACCGCAUACGACCUACGGGUGAAAGCAGGGGAUCUUCGGACCUUGCGCGAUUGAAUGAGCCGAUGUCGGAUUAGCUAGUUGGCGGGGUAAAGGCCCACCAAGGCGACGAUCCGUAGCUGGUCUGAGAGGAUGAUCAGCCACACUGGAACUGAGACACGGUCCAGACUCCUACGGGAGGCAGCAGUGGGGAAUAUUGGACAAUGGGCGCAAGCCUGAUCCAGCCAUACCGCGUGGGUGAAGAAGGCCUUCGGGUUGUAAAGCCCUUUUGUUGGGAAAGAAAAGCAGCAGGUUAAUCCCCCGCUGUUCUGACGGUACCCAAAGAAUAAGCACCGGCUAACUUCGUG
rnacentral:rRNA from 1 species